rnacentral:lncRNA from 1 species
AAAGAGGGGGAAGCAAUGAAAGAAGUUUAUGAGGGGGUACCAGAAGGUGCAGCGGUUGCAAUAGCUGUUGACCGAACAAUUGUUGGUCAAGAAUCAAUACUUGACCAAGUUUGGAGAUGCAUCACUGAUCAAAAAAAGAAUGAGGGAAUUAUUGGCUUAUAUGGUAUGGGGGGCGUCGGCAAAACUACUCUGUUAAACCAAGUCAAUAACAAAUUCUGCGGUGAUGAACAACAUCAUUUUGAUGUCGUUAUCCGGUCGGUUGUAUCUAGAGAGCCAAACAUGAAGCAGAUUCAAGAGGAUAUUGGGAAAAGGAUAGGCUUCUCAAAAAAUUCAUGGCAGGAUAAAAGUUUUGAAGAAAGGGCUUCAGACAUCACCAACACUUUAAAGCAUAAGAAGUUUGUAUUGUUAUUGGAUGAUAUAUGGGAGUCCGAAAUUGAUUUAACCAAAUUGGGCGUCCCUCUUCAGACACUAGAUUCUGGGUCCAGAAUAGUCUUCACAACUCGUUUUGAGGGUACUUGUGGUAAAAUGGGAGCCCAUAAGAAUCGGUACAAAGUGUUUUGUUUGGGAGAUGACGAUGCCUGGAAAUUAUUUGAGGGGGUGGUCGGGAGAUACGUUCUUAACAAGCAUCCCGACAUUCCGAAGUUAGCCGAGGAUGUGGCACGUCAGUGUCAUGGUUUGCCGCUAGCACUCAAAACAGUAGGUAAUGCCAUGGCGAGCAAAGAGUACCCUGAAGAAUGGAAAGAAGCAAUUGAGAUCCUAAGCGAAUCAGCUUCUAAAUUCGAAGGUAUGGAGAAAAAGGUGCUUUCGAUCUUAAAGUUCAGCUAUGAUAGUUUGCCGAAAGAUGAACUUCGAUCUUGUCUCCUGUACUGUUGCUUAUUUCCCGAAGACUCUGAAAUUCUAAAAACCGAGUUGAUAGAGUAUUGGAAAAGUGAAGGAUUUGUGGAUUCCAGCAGCGGGUGGGGGGUUCUUGGUGCUCUCGUUCGUGCAUGCUUAUUGGAGGAAGCAGGUGAUCAUGUAAAAAUGCACGAUAUGAUCCGUGACAUGGCAUUAUGGAUAGCAAAUGAAGUAGAGGAGGAGGAGAACUUUUUGGUUCGUGCAGGAGUUGGAUUAACUGACGCCCCAAAGAUUGAAGAAUGGGAAGGGGUCAAAAGGAUAUCCUUGAUGCAGAACAAAAUUCAAAGUAUAACACAAAUUCCCACUUGUCCGCGUCUGCAAACAUUGCUUCUGGCGAGUAAUCGUAUUAAGGAGAUCACUGAGAGUUUCUUUCAAUCUUUGCCUUCACUUAGAGUUUUGAGUCUAAGAAGAAAUCGUUCCCUGACUGAACUACCUGUGGGGAUUUCAAGUCUGGUUUCAUUACACCAUCUUGAUCUGUCUUCUACUAAAGUACGUGGAUUGCCGCAAGAGCUCAAGGCAUUGGUGAAUCUGAGAUAUUUGAACUUGGAGUUUACACGUGAAAUGUGUAAAAUUCCAGAGCAAUUAAUAUCAAGCUUUUCAAAGUUACAGGUACUCAGGAUGCUGCAUUGCGGUCCACGUCACCAGCCAAUAGUGGAAGAAGGCAACGUUCUAUCUGCUGAUGCUGAAUCAUUGAUGAAGGAAAUCCACUGUUUGGAACAAUUAAAUCUCAUCACCUUGUCCUUACAUGGUUCGCGUGGUGUUGAAAACUUUCUGAAAUUCCCAAAGCUGCAGAAUAUCACUCAAGCUCUGUCCAUCGAAAACUGCAACAGUCUACCGCUCAAUUUGUUGCAUCUAGCAAACAUGGAGCAUCUUGAGGAGUUAUAUAUCGAGGAUAGUAAUUUGGAAGACUGGAAUGUCGACUGCGCGGGAGAGGUACAAUAAAUGCGCAAACUUCACUCGGUUCUCAUACGGAAUUGCUCAAAUGUGAAGGACUUGACGUGGCUUGUUUUUGUUCCAAAUCUCAAGUGGCUGCGAAUAGUUGGUUGUGAUGACCUGGAAGAAAUAAUCAGUGUUGAAAAUUUUGAAAAAUUGAGUGAAGUUUCAGAGAUGAUGGGAGAGCUUAACUUGUUCACAGAACUCGAAUCUCUGAUUCUAAGAAAUGCAAGUAAUUUGAAGCGCAUCUACCGCGAUCCCUUGCCCUUUCCACAGCUGAAGGAAAUUCUCAUAUUGAAAUGCCCAAAGUUGAAGAAGCUCCCGCUCAAUUCCAGCAGUGCAAAGGGACGUAAAAUUGUCAUUUACGGGGAGAAAGAAUGGUGGGAAGAGCUACAAUGGGAGGAUCAAGCCACUCAAAAUGCUUUCUCUCCCUGUUUGGCUGUUUCGUGCCUUCAUGAAUAAUAAAGUGCAAUAAGGCGCAAAAGUGUGAAUAAAGUUUCUGCGUGUGCUUAAUGAUUGUCUUGUCUAUCCAUUUCAUUUAAUUUAAACGCUUUCUACGGUGUUGCGUGUGUGUCACUUGUCAUUCUUCUGUACUGCUGUUUCUUAUUUCCAGUUAAUAAAACUUUUUUGUUCUUAGAAAUGCUUUGCUGGAAAGGGAGAUUGUCAAUUUUUCCAUAUUAUGAUUAAUAUAUUCUAUUUAUUUUCUUAUUAUUUUUAUUACAGUCAAUAAUUGUUUGAUAGCAUAAUAUUUUAAUAUUAUUUUUAUUUUUAAAUAUAUUUUUAUUUAUAUUUAUUAUAAAUUAAAUAAAUGUAUGAAUAGAAAUAAAAAUAAAAAUUAAGUAUUAAAAUAAGAAAUAUAUAUUUUAAUGUGAAUAAAAAAUAAAUAUUUUUUUAUACUUUUUUAUUUUAUAUAUUCAUUAUAAGAAAAUAUUAUAAAAUAAAAAGUGCAAGAAAAAUAUUUUAUUAUUAAUUUUUUACACAUCAAAAUAUAUAUUUCUUUCUUUUAAUACUUAAUUUUUUAUUCAAAUCAUUAUUUAAUUUAUAAUAAAUAUAAAUAUAAAUAUAUUUGUAAAUCAAAGUAAUAUUGUAAAUUAUACUGUUAGAAAUAAUAAUAAGUUUAUCUCCAGCAUGAAUAACAUUAAAGCGUGGCUAGCAUCAUCAUAUUUUAUCUACAGCAUCAAAAUACUGAUAACAUCAACACCAUAAUUCCAAGGUUGUCAAACUAAUCAUCUCAAAAUGCCAUUAUGCUUAUAGCGUGCUGGCAUCAUCUUUACUUUCAGCAUCAAAAUUCUUUUAUUUAAUACAUUUUUAUUUUAUACAAUUUUUAUCAUAUUAAAACCCUUUGUGACCUAAGUUAUAUAGACUUUUAAAAAUUUUAUGCCACCUCUCUUUAGUAAUAGUAGUAUUGAUUAUGAUUUAAUUAUUUUUUUUAAUUUAUUAAACACUAAUCACUUAAAUUUAACCCAAGAAAAAAAUUAGAACAUCAAAAAAAUUUUAAUUGAUUCUUAUUAAGUACUAGAAUUAACUUCUCCCAAUGAUAAUUUAUUAAGCAAACCAUAAUGAUCAUCUUACACUAAAGAACCAACACAUCUUCAAAACACAAGUAUUUAGUACAAAUAAUUAUCCCAAUAAAAUUUAAUGAAAAAGGAAAGAGAUAUUUUUAUUAUUUCUUUUCCUUUCUUUUAUUUCAAUUUCUUGCCUCUUGAUCUCUUCCAAAAACCAAGCAAACUACUUAUUAAAAAAUUAAAAAAAAAAAAAAAAAGGCAAAGCGCAAGAAAAAAAGAAAUAAAAAAAUUCACAGUCACAUGUGGCUACACACAUCCCAACACCUAUCUGUCCAAUAAUUCAUCUCCAAUAAUUCAUCUCCAAUAAUUGCCCCUAUAUGACCACCGGUUUGUUCUUGCAUAUAUAAGAAACAGGAUAAAAUCGUAAUGCGUCAUUUAAUUAGCAGACGCAACAAGAUCCUACAGGAAAAGGGUUUGCAGGAAAAGAAAGGAAAAAAAUUGUUACAAAUUACAGAAACCCAAAUAUUCUACUAAGCUAACUCUCAUUAAAAUUCGAAGCCAUUCUUAAAUCUUAGCUUAUAGUACUACAUCAUUCCUUGUAUGUACCCCAACUGAAAUUCUCACAGAAGUCACAUUUCUUUAUUAGCCUCAACUCAUGCAUCUUUUACUUUUAAUCAGAGAUACUUUUUUAUAUGCUUGGCUUUACAACAACGAAUAAUUUUCCUUAGAUCCUUUCUAAUAGACAAGAAAGCACAAAGCACAAAAAUUGCCAUAGUUGGGUAGAUAUAAACGGCUUUUCCCGAAGCUUUGUCACAAGAAAACCUGAACAUGAUCGCUUCUCUUACAAGGCCCCAGAGCAGAAGAAGUGUCCCAAUUAGGCUCAUCCUCCGAGCUCCAAUUAAGGCUCCUGCAACAGACAAAUAGCUUCCUGCAAGAACCUAGUGUUCCCCCACAAAAAAAAGCACAAAAUGAAAUGCAAUGUACUGCUAAAAUCAAGAGAAAGGCUCCUAACAUAAACUUCUGGAAUUUCACUUUGCCCAUGGUUUUAGGACUUUUUUGGUACAAAGAUCACAUUCAAGCAUAAGGCUCGUAAUGUUCGAAAUAGCAAAUAAUUGAUAUGAAUAUGAUGGUUAAAAAGAAAAAAAAUUACAACAACCUCUAAGCGGAGGAGAUCAGCUUUCCGGGAAUUCGUUAAAUUGGUGAAGUUAUAUAACCGGAGCAAUUUGCUAUAGCUUGGAAUGUUUUUGCCCUUCAUUAUGGCACUUGCUAAGGCUCCAGGAUACAGAAGAAACUUGGCUACAAAUUCAGGGAAGACUUCACUUAUAAUCAACUGGAAGCAUGUCACCUCUAUAGGUGUCGUACAUUUUCCACUUCUACAUGGUAUCCUGCAAAAACAAACAAUACAACAUGUAUUAUACAUGUAUUUCAAGUACGAAAUAGAUCGAGAGCAUUUCUGAUGCUAUUAAGUUUAGCCAAUAAAAUCUCUACAAGACCUCUGGAAUUCGAAUUCCGCUCACAUAUGAAAGGAAUGUCAAAAAAGAAAUGUGGGUUGGAUAGGAUUUUACGUUUUAUUACUAGAAUUAAAAAUGCUGCCAUUGACAGUAAAAUAAAUUUCAUGUGAUAAUUGAAUCAUAGAAGUGAGUACGUGGUGAGAAAUAAUCACCAUUAUUAUAUAAAAUGAGAAAACAAUUAUGGAAGAAGCAGAAAGAAUUACCUGAAAAGAGGGAUUUGGAAGACAAUGAGACAAAAAUAUAAAGAAGAAGAAACUGAAGAUAUAAUGGCUGCCCAUUUCUUUGAUGAACCCAUCAAAAACGGCUUGAAAAUUAAAGAAACUGUCAAAUGCUGUGAUGGAGGGAAUUGAAACCUAAAAUAUGCAAGUUAGAUCAUGGGCCCAUCUUGAUUGAUUGAUUGAACACAUAGCACCUGACAAGUGUCCUUUAUAUACUGACAUUAGUUUUCUCUCUUAAAUUAGGAAAUUGUUUAUUGAAAAUAGCCAAAACUUAGGAGCUAUUUAUAAUUUUAGCCAGCUUUUCAUUCGUUUUAUUUUUUUAGCCAAGAAUACCCCAUUUUAGAUACAAAUAUCCUUUUGUAAAUUAUACUAUUCCGCACGUGUUUGACAUUUGUCGAAUAUCUUAUGUCUUUUUUUUUUAAUAAUUCACUGUAUGUGCUCAUCUUUAUGGCAAAGCUUAUGUUACAAAUAAUAUACCAAACAACCAAUAAAUAUAGGUUAUUGAUUUUGACAUUUCUUAAAUUCAAUAGAUGAGAAUUAUUCUAACAUAAAACCAAGUCUAGGUGUGAUAGUAAUUUAUAAAAAAUUUUAUUUUUAAUCACAUAGUUAUUUAUUUUUAAAUAAGUCCUCAUUGAUUUUGUAUAAUUAAAUGGUUUUGUUGUCCAUCUUUUCUACAUAUAUUUUUAAAUUUUAUAGAGUUUUUACCAUAUUUUUAUAAAGAUCUAACUGAUUAUCAUAUUCAUAAAGAUUUACAAAUUUUGAAUGUCUUUUUGCACAGGUAUUUAUAAUUUUGUCUCUCUUGAGACAUAGACAAUAUUUUUCUUCUAAUGCACACACACAUAUAUUCAAUCUAUUUUUUCAUCCUAAAAACAUACCAUCAAUUUUGUCACAUAAAUUUUGUAAUCUAAAUUUAGUAUCUUGAAUUAUAAGAGAUCUUAUAUGUGAUAAAUAUGUUACAAAUCUAAUAAAUUAUUAGAAAAAUGGUAUAAUGAAUAAAUUACCGGAACCUCUAAUAAUUUCACAAAACAUAAAAAUCAAUAAGUUACCACCUUCUAGCUAUAGGCAAAAAUAAUUUUUCUAUGGAAGAUUUAAAUUCUUGAUAUGAUCAAUGAUUUAGAUAUGGAGAAAUAAUCAAUUAAAUUGAAUGUCACUAUAUUUAUUAAAUAAAUUAGAAAACCCAAAUUUAUCUAUAAAUGAUAUAGAAAGUGUAAACAAUAUAUUAGAAAUUAAUAAUUGCAAUGAAGAAAAUAUAAAAAAAAUUAAAAGUUAAGAGAUCAAUUGAGUAAAUAAUUUAAUAAAGUUAAACAAUUAAUGAAAGAUUUCAACAUUGAAAAUCAUGAUAUAUUAAAGUAAGAGAUCAUUAAUAUAAUGAAUAAAAACUCAAUAUAUAUAAGAUUAAACAAGUUAGAGAUUCAAUUAAUAAAAUAAAAAUAAUUGCUGAGUAAUUUGGUAUUAAAUUUGUUAUAACUAUAAAAUGAAAAACUUCAAAAAAAAAUUGAAGUAAUUGCAGUACUGCUGCCUAGCUGCAGCUUGGGGCUGAAAGUAGAGCUUUAGAACUUAUUAAACUUUUUAACAAUUAUUAUAUUUUCUAAGGAUUUAAAACUUUAUGGCUGUAACAUACAGCGAAUGUAACGUAAGCUUUGCCCUUCUUUAUACGUUAUUACGUAAACGUAUAUUCCUCAAAAUGAAUUAUAAAGUAUCAAACGCUUUUUAAUUAAACCUUAAUGCUAAUGAGCUCACUUUAAUGAUGUACGAAUAAUAAUAGCUUGUUAUGGACUUACAGUCUUUAGACUUUUAGCAGUGCGAAGUCACAAGCAUUGCCCAAAAUCUAGUGGCAUAGAUUAUGGGCGAUAGGUGCCAUCACUCGAGUGAUUGAUGUCGUCGCCCGGGCGACAAUGUACAUCGCUGAGGCAACAAGCCACUUUGCUAGGCCCAUUGCGCCGACAGCUUUCGUCGCCUGCAUGAUGGCCAAAUCCAUCCAAUAAGUUUUUAGCCCAAGAAAAACAGCUUUGGUGACCAUCACGCAUCCCAUUUUGCUUACAAGUCGUCUUAAUUUUCAUAGAAAAUUGUUGCUAUUGAUCUUCCGAUACUGGCCUAAUACUUACAGAUAAUUAUUAAUCGAUUAUGGAAAGGCAGCAAACUUAAGGUUAAAAAAAGAAAAAAAAAACUCUUAGAGGCAAUUUAGCAAACAUCUUUUGUGCCAUGAUUUUAUACCACUAAUUCUCUAAAUAAUUGCUAAUUUUGCCCUCCCAUUACAAGUCUAAAUGAUAAUCUACUGUUGCCAAACGUAUACGCACUUGAACCCUUAAAAAAUAACUAUUCUACGCCCCAGAGGCACAGAAAAAUCUAUUUGUUUUGUCCCUGUACUCUUUUCAUUUGUUUUGUCCGCUUCCAAAUUCUAGAGAGAGAAAAAAAUUUAAAAAAAAAAGAUUUUAAUAAAUUUGAUGCCUUGUUCACCGAAUUCCUCGAUUUUAAAUAAAAUGAGUGUCCUGAUCAUGUGAUAAAGAAAUGUUUAUUUCAAUUUCCAUCCAACCCAUAUCUCAUAAAGAAUUUCUCAACCUCAAAUAAGUAAAUAAAUAUCAUCUUGUAAUAAUAUGACAUUUACGUUGAAGUAAACACCGACCCACUAUUUUCUCAAUUUUUCUUUUCUGAGGACACUAUUUUCUCAAUUGAAGAAUAUGUUUUGUCCAAAAUUCACAAUUUGCUCCACAUGAUUUAAAGCACACGGAAUUCACACUUUUCUCCACAUGAUUUAAAAGAACAGAGAAUUCUCCCGACCUUAGUUAUGGAUCUUAUUAUGUUUUUUGAAAUUCAAUAUUGCAAACUCAUUGGUGUAUCUAGAAAAUCAUAUUAGUAGAGUAAAAUUUAUAAAUAACCAAAGAAAAAAGUUCACGCUCUUACUUUAUUAUUUUUAUAUCUUAUUAGUAUAUCCAUUUACAUCUCUUCAAAAAAUACAGUUAAAAUAAGAUCAUCAAAUUGUAAAAUUUGAAGAGCAAUAUAUGGUUGCAAACAUUUUAUUUUUUUAUUUUUAAUAAUAAAUUUAAUUUUGACCUUUUUAAUGUUAGGUUGCACAUUUGGAUUAAAUCAAAUUAAAUUUCAAAUUAGAUCUUAGAUCUUAUUUUAAUAGAUUCAACUGGAUUUUGGGCAUCUAAUUAAGCAACCGGACUGAUAAAUUGCAAAUGAAUGAGAUUUGUAUGUGAUUUUAGAAUAAAAUUUUAACUUGAAUUUAUGUAUUUAACUAAUCCAACAAGACAAAUCUGCAAGUUCAACUAACUAAAUAAAAUAUGUUAUCUGAAACUUUGGGUACAAGUGGGGCAGUUUAUCACUUAGUGGCUCUGCUACUACUUAUAGUCUAUUCUUAUUCAACUUUCAGAUCUUUUAUAUUAUAUAACAAAUUAAAUUAUAUUCUAAAAAGUGUAUCUCACUGGUUAACAUAUUAUUUCUGGAUAAUAAUCAAUUUUAUCAAAUAAAAAGGAGUUUUGGUCAUUCAUUUGAUCCACCUGUGUUGACACUGUCGUACGUUACAAAAGCUUUUGUCUUUUGUGACUCAGUUUAUUGUAAAUUUUCGUUCAGCCCCUUGUACUCUAUUUUAUUUAUAAGAAUUAUAAAAUUUUCUACUUACCUAUACUAUUAAAAUUCAAUUUAUCUCCUUACAAUCUUUUUCAUUUACUGUUUUUUUGUAGUAUUAAAAAGAGUUUCUAUUUACAAUCACAAUAUAUUAAUCAUCAUAACACACUAAUAUUAAUAAAAAGACAAAAGCAUCCUUAAAUUAAUACUAAAAAAUGCUUCCCUCUCUUGAGGAAUUAUGGUAUCUCAUCUUCCAUCACUCAUUACCAACAAAAUUUUCAAGGAUAUGACCAUUCAUCUUCUUUAUAAUACCAUCUUAGAAUAAUUAAUACUUUCAUGAUAAAAGAAUUAACAAAAUAAGGAUAAAUUCCCUUUGAAUCCAUCCCUCUCCACUAUCAUUUUCUCUUCAUUAGCAACCUUUAGCAACAAUUGAAGCCAUCAUCAGACUCAUCACACAGAGAGAGUGAGAGAGAGGAAGAAGAAACGAAAGUACGUUUACUCAACAUGAAUCGAAAUGAGUUGGAAUCAGAAUGAGUUAGAAUCAUAAUGAGCUAAAAUCGAAAUGAAGAAUUGAAACCAUAAUAAGUUAUUUUCUUGAACUAUAGGAAUCGUAAUUAGAAUGAAUUAUAUUACCAUUGAUGUGUUUACUUUGUCUUAGAAUCAAAAUCGUAAUGAAUUAAAUUGUAAUAAAUUACUAUAAAAUCUUUAAUUAAUUAUUAUCAUAAUUAUUAUUUUGUAUUUUAACUAUUGUAAUUAUUAUUAUCAUUAAAAAAUUAAUUAUUACUAAUAAAUAUUGUUAAUUAUUAUUAUUAUUAACAAUUCAACUCAAAAAUUAUUAUUAAUUAUUGUUAAUAUAUUAAUUAAUUAUAAUGCUUUUUAUUGUUAAUAAUAAUAAUAAUAAUAAUAAUAAUCCAUUUAAAAAAAAUAACAGUAAUAAUCAAAAUCAUCAUCAUCAUCAUCAUCACAAUAGCAACAACAAAUCGGAAUUGGUGGUGGCAUCAUGAAUCAUGAUCAACAGUGUCGACAUCAUCAUCAUCAUCAUCAUGAAGAUCCCCGGUGAAGACAAAGAUGACGGCGACGAGGAGAUGUGGAGAUAUGCUCUUUUAAGAUGGUGAGGAGAUGAUGGCGAGAUUGUUACUGCAGUGGGCUAAAUAACGGACGGUGAAGAUGUGGAGAUAUGCUCUUUUAACAAUGUUCAUAUUGAUGCUGGAUAUUUUGGCAGCUUGUCCCAAUUCCAGAUGUGAAUGCAAUGUUCACAUUACAUUUGUUCGCCUACCAUUUAAUUUUGAACCACAAAAUCUGUGUAAAGUAGUUCACGUUUCACACUUCCUUAGCAGUUAUCAUCAGCAUUCGUCUCCCAUAUUCUCAAGUUUAAAUCAUUGGAAAAUUGAGUUAAAACAUGAUAACAGAAUCUAAAAUUUAGUGGCAUGAAGGAACAGAAGCAAUAUCGAAUGUUUCAAAUCUACAGUAUAAUUUGCUUAGUUCCCUGAACAAGAUUGAAACUUCAAAUGAGAUCAAGCAGCAAAGUGUAGAUUGGAGGUCACAUGCUUGAUAUUUGAUGCUAUCAAAAACAAUUUGCAGUACUGAAAUUGAUGCUCUAAUAAAUUUUCACAGGGAUUUCUAUAUUUACCACAAAUCUUCAGAAGUGAAACAGGAUAAAAUCAUAAUGCGUCAUUUAAUUAGCAGAGGCAACAAAAAUCCUACAAAAAAAGGGUUUACAGAAAAAGAAAGCAAAAAAUUGUUACAACCUGCAAAAACCCAAAUAUUCUACUAGCCAAAUCUUAGUUUAUACUAAUACAUCAUUCCUUGUUUGUUACCCAACCGAAUUUCUCACAGAAAUCACAUUUCUUCAUCCGCCUCAACUCAUACAUCUUUUACUGUAGAUCACAAAUACUUUUUGAUAUGCUUGGCUUUACAACAACGAAUAAUUUUCCUUAAAUCUUUUCUAAUAGACAAGAAAGCACAAAAAUUGGCAUAGUUGGGUAGAUAUGUAAAUGUGAAAAUAAUUAUGGAAGUAAGUCAAUAACAAAGAAUUAUCGGAAAAGACGGAUUUGAAAAGCAAUGAGACAAAAUAUAAAGAAGAAGAAAUUGAAGAUAGGGUAGGGCUAUUGGCUCUCUAAAAUUUAUUUUGGACAUUGAUGUGGUCUUUAAAAAAAAUUAUAUAAUUUUAUUCUUAAGUUAUCUUUAUCUCUUUGAGUUGUUAUCAUAGUUCAUUUUGAUUAAAUAAAAGUAGUUGUUGUGUUUACAUAAUUCUAAUGAACAUGGGUUUUAUUAUGCUUUUAAUCUUGAGGUCCAACUUCUAUAAGAUAGUAUUUAAACUAGCAUCAAUAUCAAUAAUAGUAGACUGAAAUAUUUUGUUUAGAGAUUGAGUAGUUGUAUUGGGAGAUAUCUAGUCCCUCAAAGUACCAAAAAUAUAUUUAUUAAAGCUUAGAUUCCUCAAAUUAACCCAUUUAUCACUUAUUCUUUUUAUUUUGUUUGAUUUCCUAUUGCAAUAAUUUGUGUCUGUAAGACUAUAACAGACACUCACAUUUUAAUAGUUCUUUAUUUCACUAAAUUAACCUCAAUGUAAUUUACUAUUGAGGACAAUUUAAUAAAAUAUAGUUCAAUAAAUUUUUAUCCAACGUCUUAUUUUAUCUACAAUAAACUAGAUCAACGAUGAAGAAAUGAAUGAAAGUUCAUAUGAAAACGCUAUCUGUACUUAUGGACUAAACCUUUUUUAUUUUUUAUUUUUUAUUUUUUAUUUUUUAUUUUGUUAAUAGAAUUGCUAGGAAAACAUCAUGUAAUACGUUCCAUCUUUUGUUACAAAAGGAAUUAAAAACAGAGGUGGAGGAAGAACAAUAAAUUGCACCACUACAAUAUAUGAAAAAGGAAAGAAAUCAAAGGAUAAAAUUUGUUUUAAAUUUGCUUUCUGAUCUUCACUCUUAUCUAAUCCGCAUUCUUUCAUGGAUUUGAAAAACAAAAUUGAAUUGCGACAUUGAAGAGAAGAACAAACAUAUGUCAAACCAUAUUAUGAAAGCAAAAUAAAAGUUGAUAAAAAUGAAAAAAAGUUCAAAUAUUUUGUUUGUGAUGAUGAAUAUUUUAUUGGAUGUAAAGAGGAAAUAAGGUAAUUAAAAAAAUAGGUAAUGAGAACAAUAUAGGAAGUCGAAAAAUAUUCCAAAUAAAAAUUAAUAUUUUGAAAUUAUUAACUGAUAUUCAAAAUAAAUUUUAGAAUGCAAGUACCGCAUCGCUGCCCAUUUCUUUGAUGAACCCAUUAGAAACGGCUUUAAAAUUAUAGAAACUGUAAAACGCUGUAAAACUGUUAACUUUAAAAAGCUUGCUAUAGUCUUUAAACCUUUAAUAGUGCAAAGUCACAAGUCUUGCAGCUAAAACUAUGAGUUGUAUACUCUUUUUUUUAUAAUGUUACUAGAACUGUUAUUAUCUUAUGUCUAUGUACGUAUGUUUACAAUAUAUUUCAUAAAUUUACUGAGAUAAGUGCAGAAAUUUAAUCCAAAGUACAUCCAAUCUAUUGUCACUAACUCUAAGGCCCUAUUUAGUAUUUAGAUAAUGUAGUUAUUGUGAAAAAAUCCAGUAACUACAAAAUAAAAAUUAAUAAUAUAUAGUAAUAUGACUUGUAAAUAAUAAUUUAAAAAAUACUAAAGAAUUAUAAGUUUUUCAAAAUAAAAGUGGUGGAAUAAAUUAAUUUAGUUUUCAAGUAACAGCAAGUAAUGUUUACUUAAUAUAAAAAGCUAUAAUUGUCCAAUCUCAAUAAGAACCUGAGUAUUUUAGCAAAAAUAUACUUUUAUUUCAUAUUUUACCAAUAUCCUCACCAUUAUUCAGAGCACCAACCUUUAACUAUCUUCGAUUCUAUUUUUUGUUAUAACUUUUUAAGUAGAGCUUUUACUAAAAAAUAAUGGUUUGGUUAUCAAUGAGAAUUUUUAUUAAAAUUUAUAAAAUUACUUUAAUAGGUAAAUUUCUUAAAGUUAUGUUAUGAAAUGAAUUAAAUAAAAUUGUGAAAUAUAUAAAGCAUAUUUUAGACAAUAUAAUAUUUUAAAAAAACUUAACCUCUACUUCAAAAAACUUAAAAUUUAAACUUUUACUAAUAUAGAUAAAAUAACUUAUUUAAUUUUAAAAAAAAUUUACUCAAAUUUUAUAAAAAAAUAUUAAGUUUAAAAAAAGGUUAUAAGAUUAAAUAAAUAAAUUUGACCGAAUGUACACUAACUCUUAGAAAAUAAAUAUUUUGCACUACAGAGGUAAGGUUCAAUUAUGUUGCAACUGAGAUAUUGUACCAUAUAUAUUUUUUUUUUUUGGGAAAUUGCCAAUUUUCUCCCUACAGUAAUCAACAUAUACCACUUUUCUCUCUGUUGUUUUUAUAAUGGCCAAAAACCCCCCUGACAGCAUAAGUUUACAAUAUUACCCUUAUUUUCAACUACUCAUUUAUUUUCAUUUAUUAUAAAUUAAAUAAAUCACAUGAAUAGAAAUUAAAUAAAAAAUUAAGCAUUUAAAAUAAGAAAUAUAUGUUUUGAUAUGAGAAAAAAAUUAAUAAUUUUUUUCUUGUACUUAUUUAUUUUGUGAAAAUUUUCUUAAAAUAAAUAUAUAAGAAAGUUAUUAUAAAAUGAUAAAAAAACUUAUUAUAAGAAAAUUUGAAUGACAAAUAAAAAUUUAUUAUAAGAUAAAUAAUAAAAUAUUUUACCUAUAUUUUUUACAUUUAAUUUUAAAAUAUUACAAAAUGUUUAUUAUAAGAAAAUGUUCACAAAAUAAAUAAUUACAAAAAAAAUUUAUUAUUAAUUUUUUUGCUCAUAUCAAAACAUAUAUUUCUUAUUUUUAAUACUUAAUUUUUUUAUUUAGUUUCUAUUCAUAUAAUUUAUUUAAUUUAAAAUAAAUGUAAAUAAAAGAGUAAUUAAAAAUAAGAGUAAUAUUAUAAAUUUAUGUUGUCAGAGAAAUUUUUGAUCAUUAUAAAAAUAAUAAAAGAGUAAAUGAUAUAUGUUAAUUAUUAUAGCGGGGAAAGUGGCAAUCUCCUUUUUUAGUAUUUAACAAAGUUCUUGGGUGCUUCCCAGUUCAAUCCAGCGGCUGAAAUUAAUUAUUGGAUAAUUGAUGCAGCAACUGACAACCGUUGCAGCUGGUUGUAUAUUAAUUUAAUAGCAGUUCAACAUGCGUGGGUUCCGAAAAUUUCUUAGUCCUGAUUAGGGUUUCACUAAUUCCAUCUGAAAAUUGAUCUCGCAACAGCAAUUAAGACAUAAAAUUAGAAUUAGAGGAUCGCUUUUUUUUUUUGGGAAUUAAAAUUUCCCGAUGAUUCAUAUUCAUCGGGAAAUUUUUUUUGAAAAGAUUUAAAACUUGUAAUUAGCUUGCAAGAACACUGCGUUUGUUUAUGAGAAUCAGAGAAAGUGAGAUUGGUAACAAUGGUUCGGUAAUUUCAUUACAGCAAUGAGGCGGGGGCUCACAAACAGAAAGCUACCGAUUUAAAGAGCUACAAUCAAGCUUUAGAAGCCGAUGGUAACAUAGUUAGAACAAUAGAAUCUGAUAGCUUUAGGGAUUCAUAAGCUAUUUGUAAGUAUUUGUACUCCCUGACUAAAUAAUUUGGGAAUAUAAGGAUGCAGUAAGAGUUGAGUGGUCUUUACUCCCAUAGCAUUAUUUUUUUCUGUGGUCUUUAUUCCCAUAGCAUUAUUUUUUUCUCACUUCAUCAGUGCUCUGUUCAAUCUUUAUGUGCCGCUUGUUAUGUUCCUGCAUAUCUAAUUACUUUUGGAUGAUAGUUGAUAUUUGACAAAUUUGCAGGUUAAGGAUAUUAGAUGGGACGCAGAGCUUGGUAGUCAGAACAUGGAAUUACGGUUGGUUGAAUACUUUACAGAUGAGUUUAAUAAACAAGUUGGUAAUUGGGUGAAGUGAGGAAGUCUCCCAAGGCCAUGGCUGAACUGAAGAAGCAAGUUAAAUAUACAAAAGCAAUUCUUUGUGCGAACACAAUAGAACCAAUAUCAGUUAAAUCUCUCCACGAUGAUAGGGACUUCAGAUAGGUGGAGUUCAAGUUCAGAUUUUAUUGUUUGAGGUGCGUUUUAAGUUUAUUAACAAAAUUAAUGUGUUCUUUAAAUGAGUGAGGAACUGUAGAACAUGACAAGUAGAGUUUAUUGUGUGAGGGAUGCAUAUUCUCUUACAAGUGCUUUGUUCUUUAAUAUAGCACUAUAAGACAUCUUCUGAUGAAAAAUAGAGUCAAUAAAAUUACUCCAGACUGACUGGGCCCUUGGAUUCCAAUUCUUGCAUGAGAUAUCUUUUUCCUUUUAUUCUUUUUUCAAAUUUACUAGUGGUACUUUCAUUUGGUAAACUAUUCUAUAUAUAUAUAUAUAUAUAUAUAUAUAUAUAUACUCUAAUCAAUUAUAUUGGCUUAUUCUCCUUUUAUGUUGAUUCACACUGCUGGUAUAUAUAAAAUUUAUUUAUUAGUUUUGGUGAAAAUUUUGUUUUGUUGCACACGGAUAGUAAACCCAAAUACAUUCAUAUGCAUAUCUGGGGUUUGUUUUGUCUUUUAGGAGCAGCAUUACCUGUCAAAAGUUCAAAGAGCUCUAUGAACUUAAGCAUUCAGGGUUGAAAAUGGACAAGAUAUAUGCAGUGGAGUUCAUUGGAAGAGCUACUAUAGUGCCAAAGUUGCAGGUUUGCACCAUCCGCUUUGUUUUGGUAGUUAGCCCGAGUAUUAAAUUCUUGAGGCGUGUAAGGUAGUGGACUUUAGCCAAUUCAAGAGUAGAAUAUAAUAUGUUUACUUGUUUUGAUCUUAAUCUUUAAUCACUUACCCUGAAUAAGAAAUAAUUUUUUGUAUUUGCUCUGCUAUGAUGUUAUUCGGUGUUAAUAGCUUCGUUUUGUUGCUCUUUUCCGCACAGAUUCUUGAUCUCAAAAGAACUUUUAUUUUGAAUAUUCUACAUAAGGACAAUCUGAUUUAAUACCAUCAGUGAUUUUUCAUUUUUUCUCUUUAGUUUUAAUAUGUUUGAUAACUGUAUGGUUAAGCAAUCUAUGCAAUUUUAUCUUGUCGUAUGUUUGAGCUCAUUUUUUGAUGCAAUUCUGAAUAUUUGGUAUGAAUUAUGUGAUACCGGACAAUACUAUUAACUUGUUAAUUGCUUAAAUUUAAUAUAUUGUCAAAGUCACUAAUAGCAUUUCAUCAUGCAAUGAGUUAAACAUGGAACAAAUGAUGACAUGCGGUUGUGGAAUGUGUUAGAUCUCUGGGAUUCUAUGUCCUUAUGCUUGCAGGGCAAAACAAUACAUUCGUUAAAACAUUGAAGACUGUGAUGUCCACAGAAAAUUAUAUGUCAACUUAUGCACCAGACAUGAUGAAAUUAGCCAAAGACAGUGUUUGGAAGUGGCAAGCAAGUGACAAUUUGCUUCUACCAAUGACUUCAGAUCUCAAACCUGUUUCAAGCAAGGCCAGCAAUGACAUCAUGUUCAAAACAGUUUAGCCAGACACACCUGUUCACACCCCUCUACUACAUAUAACCUAGAGGUACAUUUUUUCUAUACGAUUGGCAUUAGGCUUAUCCAGUUCAAUACAGUAUUUCACAAAACUUAUACCAACUUAUUCCUAAUUAUAGUGGACACAAUUAACUUACUUUGGCAACUGUUCUGAAGAGGCUGACAUCAACUACCAGUGAUGACACUCUCUUGUAAUGUUUUGGUGCUAUCUACUAAAUACUACUACUACAUAAUAUUGACAAUUCGUCUGUGUGCAGGCCCGUGAUAACCAUUUAGAUCGACCAGAAACCAAUAAGAUAUUGUAAUCACAAGCAAUCACCCAUCUCUUUGGAUGGUGCUCUAUUGUGAUUCUUUCCUCUAUGACUGUUAAAUAAGCAAUGUAUUGCACUUUUGUUAUGCAAAAGUAUGGCGACCAUGUAUCAACUAGUGUAUCUAUUUUAUACACUAAUUAUGAAUUACUAGAAAUUUUAUUACAUUAAUCAUUUUUAGAUAGUUACUCAUCUCAAACGAAAUAAACUGUUCAGGGACACUUGACCCAACAUGCUUGUGACCGACCUUAGAAUAAAUUUUUGUCACUCAAUAUAGACAACUUCUACGAGGUUAAUAUUUCUUCAAAUUUCAACAAAAUCAUUGGCCACAGGAAUACAUACACAUGUUUCCUUUGGCAUGUUAAGUAGACGGGAGCAACAUGUGGGCUGUACGCCAUUACCUUAAACGAAGCAAAAUUAUCUUGUGUUUAUCAAAGUUUGAAACCAAUUCUGAGUUAAUUACAAAGAAUGUAUGAAUAACGCAUUAUACUCAUACACCAAACUUUAAUCUGAUGGAAUCAAGUAAUUCUAUGUUAAUCAAAGUUUUUAGACUUACAAGAUGAUGGUCAAGUUUAUAUAAAAGCAAAUAACACUGAAAUCUAAUCAUCCUAUACAAACAAAUAUGAUUUAUUCAAUUAUAGCAAACAAUUGUUUUAUCGGAGUUAAUUACAUUAUUGCUAAACUUGUAUAAGCUUUCCUGUUUCAAACAUGUCUACUUAAUUACAUUAUUCAUCGACAAUGUUACUUUGCCCGUGGAAGUUUCAUUUUUUCAUACCUUAAUCACUAUUUAACGCUUCGUUUUCCAAUAGUUCUAAUUCUUCAAAUUUUGGCUUUAUUAUUCCAUAAUUAUAAAUUGAUACUAAUUUGCAGGACUCAAAUUAAAGUGGUUAAUUACUCUAAAGUAUAAUUCUAGCAGUCAAUAAUUACAUAAAAAUAAUUGCAAAAAAAAGUUAAUAAGGAAUAGUAUAAAUUUAAAAACCGCCAAAGUUACGAGAUAUAUGCUUGAUAUUUAAAUCAUGGCCAUAAUAUAUAUAUAUAUAUAUAUAUAUAUAGAUAUAUAUUAUGUGAUUCAGUUCUUAAUUAACCAUUCUAUGAAUAAAUAUGAGAAUUAAGUACAUAUUAUGCCACAACCUUAUUGAAGUGUUCCCACUACAAUAUUAGUAGUCAACAUUAGGUCUAAACACCCACAUAAAUCCAAGGGAUCUAGAUCUACAAAUAUUAACCACUCUAUGAAUAAACAUGGGAAUGAAGUACAUAAUUGCCACGGCCAUAUUGGAAUGUUUCCACUACCAUAUUCGUGUGUCAAUGUUGCGUCUAAACAUUUAUAUACAUCCAAGCAAAUUUAUAUUUGUAAAUAAAUAUAAAUAUGGAAUGAAAAUAAUAGGUAGAAAAUAUAAAUUACAAACAUUAAACUUAAAAUACAGUUGAGAAAGUAAUUAAAUCCACAAUUUAGAUCCUUGAAUUUCACACUCAUCACCUUAGCUUAAAAAAUUAGCCACUCAUAUUAAUAAACAAAACAUUCAUUUUAUUUAAUAAAUUUGUAAAAGUAUAAUACAAAAAAAUUAAAAUAAAGAAGAAGAGCAAAAAAACAAUAUCUUCUUAUUAACUACACUUCUUCAUAAAAUUCACUCUAAAUUUACACUAAAUUUCUCUAGGAAACUCACCUCUAAAAUUCUACACCCCGAAUUAUCAAAUCUCUUGCCUCUAUAUAGGCAAAUUCUAGGUUGAUCAUGUGUGGGCAUUUAGAUGAUAUUUUUGGUGAACUUGCAACCACAACCUUUAGAUGACCUUUGAUAAUCCAAAUACAAGCCAAGGGGUCCAAAAUUGCAAGUAUUGACAUGCAUAAUAAAACCGUUGAUUCAACAUAAUCAAUGGUUAUAAUGAAGUCAAAUCUGGAUCCUCCGUUGGAUUUUUUUUUUAAUUCAAGGUGGUUGAACCACUAAAUUGAUAAGUAUUAAAUCUAGUGUAAAUAAGUGCAUGUGAACUUAGACACACGACACGAUAUCAGCUUUUCAAAAUUAAUAUUAGAUAAAACGGCUACCAAUUCUUUUAAAAGUUAAAAUUAUAAUUUUUACUUUUAUUUAAUAUAUACUUUCUAGUAUUAAUCAUUGAUGAACAAUUUUUUAUUUCAUCGCCGUCUAGAUUGCCUUUAUCUUACACAAAUUUGUUUAAAACCUUUAAAUAGUUUCUAACCACUACAUAAUUUUAUCUGUCGUCCUUAAUCUUGUUAUCCACAACUGACCAACAUAUUGUUACCUAUCAUUAUAGUUGUGUAAUUCACCUUUUGUUAACUGGUUUCCUAAUAUAUUUUAAAAGAAAUGUGGCCAUCUGUUGCUCGUUGGAUCACUUGCUUUUAAAUCCAAUAAUUCCGUGAGAUAAAGACAAAACGCUUGCUAUAGUGCUACAGUUACAACAUAGACGUGGCUGUAGAGGCAGGAAAAAAAUCUAUUUGUUUAGUUACUGUACACUUUUUCAUUCAUUUUGUCCACUGCCAAAUCUUCGAGAGAAACAACACAAAUAAAAAAAGAUUUUAAGAAAUUUGAUGCCUUGUUCGCCGAAUCUCUCCACUUUUAAUUAGUGUCGUGAUCCUGAUCGUGUGAUCUGGUGAUGGUAUGACAAUUACUUUGGAGAAAACACCGGCCCACUUUGAAUAAAAUAAAUUUUAUACCAAAUGAAUCAUAAGGCAAAACACUGCACUUACCUAUCCAUGCUGAUUAAACCCCCUCGCCGACACCUCUGCUCUCACCAUCAAGGCAUCAACACUUAAUAAUGACAAUUGGUUGUGUUAGCAUUUUGGUCAAAACGCUGGACCCCCCGGCCCCCACAAAAAACAAAAAAAAUUUAUGAUAAUAAUAACAUUCAUAAAUAAAAAUUAAUAAUGGGUGUGUUAGCAUUUUGGUCAAAAGCCGAUUUGGCCUUCACAUUAAUUGGAAUUUUGGAUCUAUAAUAUGAUUUUCACCGAAAAGAUAAUUUUGCCGCUAAUUAUUUGGGUAGUCAGAUAAUAAUAACAAAAAAAAAUGUUAUCUCUCACCUAUAACUUGAGGAGAUAAUAAUAAAAGUCUUUCAUCAUACUAUACUGUUUAGUUUCUCUUCUUCAUUUUUUUCCCCUUUGAAGUCUUUCAACAAAAAUGGGUGGCAUCAUCUCAACCUUCUUCUCAGCGGACACAAUUCGUCCAAUUUUAUUUUACGUCGGUGGACAAGCAAAGUAUAUAUGGGGUCUUAUAGGUAAUCUCGAUGACUUGCAAACUGAAAAGGAGAACUUGAUUGCAAAAAAACUAGAUCUACUGAAUAAGGUUAGGCUUGCUGAACAACAACCCCGAAACAGACGGACACCGACGGUGGAACUUUGGUUUAGAAGGGUGGAAGAAAUAGAAACUAAAGUUGAGAGGCUGCAACAAGAAAGAGAUCAAGAGAUUGACAGAUUGUGUCUUGGAGGCUUCUGUUCCAAGGACUUGAUUUCAAGCUACGACUUCGGCAAAAAGGUGGAGAAGUUGAAGGAAGAAGUAAUCAAAUUGUGGGAAAAAGGAGAAGCAAUGAAAGAAGUUUAUGAGGGGGUACCAGAAGGUGCAGCGGUUGCAAUGGCUGUUGACCGAACAAUUGUUGGUCAAGAAUCCAUACUUGACCAAGUUUGGAGAUGCAUCACUGAGCAAAAAAAGAAUAAUGGAAUUAUUGGCUUAUAUGGUAUGGGGGGCAUCGGCAAAACUACUCUGUUAAAACAAGUCAAUAACAAAUUCUGCAGUGAGGAGCAUGAU